AUAUCAAUAAGCGGAGGAAAAGAAACCAACAGGGAUUGCCCCAGUAACGGCGAGUGAAGCGGCAACAGCUCAAAUUUGAAAUCUGACCCUUCGGGGUUCGAGUUGUAAUUUGUAGAGGAUGCUUUGGCGUUGGGCCCGUGCUAGGUUCCUUGGAACAGGACGUCAUAGAGGGUGAGAACCCCGUCUUUGCUCGGGAUUCCGUCGCCAUGUAAAGCUCCUUCGACGAGUCGAGUUGUUUGGGAAUGCAGCUCUAAGCGGGAGGUAAAUUUCUUCUAAAGCUAAAUAACGGCCAGAGACCGAUACCGCACAAGUA
rnacentral:rRNA from 1 species